rnacentral:rRNA from 1 species
UACGUAGGUGGCAAGCGUUGUCCGGAUUUAUUGGGUUUAAAGGGUGCGUAGGCGGUCAUGUAAGUCAGCGGUGAAAUCCGGCAGCUCAACUGUCGAUGUGCCAUUGAUACUGCAUGACUUGAGUACUGAUGAGGUAGGCGGAAUUGACGGUGUAGCGGUGAAAUGCUUAGAUAUCGUCAAGAACACCGAUAGCGGAGGCAGCUUACUAAGCAGUAACUGACGCUGAUGCACGAAAGUGUGGGGAUCAAACAGG